CACAAUAGUAAUUUGGUGGGAAUUUGGCUGUUUUUGCUCCAAAAGGCUCAAAUUUGUUGUUCCCUUGUUCAUUCCCUUUCGUAGGAACGGACUCUUCAUUCGUACCAAUGGCUCUAACUUAUUGCUUUUGAGUUUGGAUGUGGGUACUGGCUAGAAUUGCAAAUGAAUCCCCGAUCCGCUGUAGCUUGUUACAAAGAAGUGCUGUUGAAGAAAUAUUUUUCAUAAUUUUGUAGUUCAGUGUGGAGAUCUGCUGGUUUUUCUGGGGAUCUGGACGAUUCUUGGUAGUGUUGGAUUUAUCAAUGGAGUUUAGAUUUGUUAAAGGACCUGUUUGCUGUUCGUGGGAUCUGUCCGAAUAGCGGGGACAUGAUUUCUGGGGUUUUUUCUUGCGAUUACUCUGGUGGGUGCACGAGAUUCCAUUGAUAAGGAGGUAGAAUUUUGUGCGGGAAGAUGUUUUGGAGGGAAAGAGAAAGGGAGAAGGAGCAGAAUGGAGUGUCUCCUUGUGGGCAGGUGCGGGUUCUCGUAGUUGGUGAUUCAGGUGUUGGCAAAACUUCUCUUGUUCACCUAAUAGCUAAAGGUUCUGCCAUUUCUCGCCCUCGACAGACAGUUGGGUGUACAGUUGAUGUUAAGCACAUCACCUAUGGAAGUUCUGCCAGCUCUUCCAGUAGUAUGAAUGGGGAUUGUGGAAGGGAUUUCUUUGUUGAACUGUGGGACGUUUCAGGACACGAACGAUACAAAGACUGUCGUUCUCUUUUUUACACACAAAUCAAUGGUGUAAUAUUUGUACAUGACCUCUCACAGAGAAGGACCAAAGCAAGCUUGCAAAAGUGGGCUCUCGAAGUUGCCACAACAGGAACUUUUUCUGCUCCUCUUGGUUCUGGAGGACCAGGUGGUCUUCCCGUUCCUUAUAUUGUAAUUGGCAACAAAGUUGAUGUUGCUGGUGAAAGAACAAAGGGCAGCAGUGGCAAUUUAGUUGAUGUAGCUCGCCAGUGGGUUGAGAAACAAGGUUUGCUUCCAUCAAGUGAGGAGAUACCUCUGACAGAGAGCUUUCCUGGGAGCAUUGGGCUUGUUGCUGCAGCAAAGGAAGCAAGAUUUGACAAGGAAGCUGUGAUCAAGUUCUUUCGCUUGUUGAUAAGGAGGAGAUAUUUUCCAGAUGAGCUCCCCAAGCAGCCAUCAUGGUCAGUUGCACCAGCUCAAAAGCCAGUUCACCUAUCCGGUGACAGCAUUAGUGAAGACGAACCAGUAUAUAUUCGUACAAGCUUGAGCAGCGAGGACUACAGGUUCAGCUCUGCCCUUCCUCCUCUUCCUGCUCAACGAAAUCUCACUCCACCUCCAACAUUGUAUCCUCAGCAACCGAUCUCCCUAUCAGAAAAUUUCAGCAUCCCAAGAUUUUCUAUGCCUGGACUACCAGAUGUCAGCAACAUGAAAUCAAAACGUGCAGAUAUUAAUGUAUGAUAGUACAGAAGUUGCAACGGGAAGCAAUACUACACAUGCAUGAAAGUUAGUGACAACUUCCGAUUGUCAUCUCAAAUGAAGGGUUUCAUCCCCGCAGUUUUAUACCAACUCGCCUCUGCUUUGCACUGGAGCAGUAUGAUUCGUCUUCAUGCAGGAAGGGGCAAUCUCAGUUUUCAUACUAUCCACUCGGCCAGCCCACAAAACCAUCAAACCCAGCUGUCUUAUGUGAGACCUUGAUUAAAAGUGAUUGGUUCCUUUUGGACCAUUUGAUUUUGAUUUUUCUUCUUGUCUUUGGUUUUUUUUUUUUUUUGAAAAACACAUAGACGUGAUCUAAAUUGUUGUUAUGGGAACACGGAAUUUAAUCCGACUAUAAUGAACUAAGUGGGGAUUUGAAGUCUUUUAAAAAUCAA